UUAAUUUGGUUUUGGUUUAUUUAUUUUUUUCCUUUACAAAAAGAACAUCUGGGGAUGCACGCUUCCCCAUCUUGCUCACAGUUCAAAAACCCUAAUUUUUCGUGAUUUCUUAGCAAUUUCAGCAAUGGAGGUUGAUAAUUCAAUGCCAGAUCACAAGCUCUGCGGUUUCUUCCUUACCGCCGUUAAAAUUUCGUCUCCGCCGUACUCCUCCGAGCUCCGCCGCACCGUCCCUCUAAAUUCCCAGUGCUACAUCGCCGGAGACGGUUCUAAUGUCCACUUUUUAUUGGUUAACGACGUUGAAUUGUGUCCCAUUGGUCCUCAGACGGAAGAGGGGCGGAAUGGUGUUGUUCCUACGAAGAAGCGGAGCAAAAUUGGAAUGGUGCAUGGUAGUUUAAGCGUAGUGCAUCAGUUACACAAGCUUGUAAUGCAAAAAUGCUUGAAGAUAGUUGCGAGGGUUGUUGAGGUUGUGGAGCGUGGCGGUGAUGAAGAAGUCAGGGUUGCUGUUCUUGUCGAUGUGUACUUGCCUAUAGCUUUGUGGUCUGGUUGGCAGUUCCCUAAGUCUGGUCCUGCUGCUGCAGCAAUUUUCCGGCAUAUCAGUUGUGACUGGGAAGCUAGGAGUUCUAUGCUUCAGUCUGCUAAGCUUGGUAUUGAAAAGGAUUUUAGUAUUUGGAAUCUGUCUGACUGUCAUGUUCUAGGAUGCAAACUGCACUGCAGUGCACCUGACUCUUCGAAGAAAAAGCUCUUUGAGCUCCAUGAAAUUUUUAAGAGCUUACCAAGUGUAUCAAAGAGGGGAAAUCCUGAUUCUUUAAGAGUGAAUCCCCUUGAUACUAGUAGAUCGGGUAUCUGGGUGAUAACAGAUGAUAUUUUGAUCAGUAUUCUUUCUUCACUUUGUCCUGUUGAUCUUCUCAGGGUUUCUGCAACAUGUCGACAUUUAAAAUUUCUUGCUGCAUCAAUCAUGCCAUGUAUGAAACUGAAAUUGUUUGCUCAUCAGCAGGCUGCAGUUGACUGGAUGUUACAGCGUGAGCACAAUGUUGAAUUACUUCAGCACCCACUGUACAUGGAUUUUGUCACUGAAGAUGGAUUUGCUUUUUAUAUAAAUGCUGUUUCUGGUCAAAUAGCUACAGGCCAGGCUCCGACAAUCAAGGAUUUCCAUGGGGGAAUGUUCUGUGAUGAGCCUGGCUUAGGUAAAACUAUUACUGCUCUUUCUCUCAUUCUGAAGACUCAGGGAACACUGGCAGAGCCACCAGAUGGUGCACAAGUCAUCUGGUGUAUGCAUAAUGCUGAUCAGAGGUGUGGUUAUUAUGAGCUUAGUAGUGAAGAUACAAUCAGUUCUGGUGUUCUAUUAGCUAGUAGAGCUACUGGACACAAUGGCCGAAGAGGACGAUUAUCUUUAGAGAAACUAACCCCAGAGAAAAGCUUGAACAACUUCUCCACAUCACUUGGAUCCAUGGUUGUUAAUUCAGCUGAUCAUAUAGCAACUUCAGAAAUCAGUUCACCUACAGUCACACAUUCCGCUCCAACAAGGUAUGCUGUGAGGUGUACCAGUAGCUAUAGCCAGAUAAAAAGAGAUCUUAUGUAUGCAUAUGAAGGAACAUCCCUUUUUCCUGAAGAGAGAAAUUCUAGGAAAAACUCGAAAAAAAGAAAGCUUGCUUCUAAUAACAAGCGAAAAAGCUCAGCAUAUGAGAAAUCUGGUUAUUCACAUAAAUUAUCUCGUGGUAGUAAGAGGUUUCAUGAGCCUUCUGCAGAGAACUUUGAGCUCAAGGAAACUUGGAUCCAGUGUGAUGCUUGUCACAAAUGGCGGAGGCUUGCAGAAGCUGGUGCAGCAGAUACUACUUCUGCAUGGUUCUGCAGUAUGAAUACUGAUCCAUUAUAUCAGAGUUGUAGUGUUGCAGAAGACUCUUGGGACCAUAAGCAGCAUAUCACUUGCCUUCCAGGAUUUCAUAGUAAAGAAACUCCUGGGGGACUGGAAGAAAAUAUAUCAUUUUUUACCGGUGUGCUGAAGGAUGAUUAUUCAAUUAUGGAUUCAGAAGCAAAGAAGGCUCUAAUUUGGUUAGCUAAGCUGUCACCACAGAAGCUGUUAGAAAUGGAAACAAUUGGGUUGGUGCAACCUAUUGUACAGACUUCCGUAGGAGUUCCUCAUGCCCAUCAUAAAAUAUUUCAAGCCUUUGGUCUUGUUAAGAGGGUUGAAAAGGGUACAACUAAGUGGUACUAUCCCAGAGGUCUUGUGAACCUGGUCUUUGAUUUGGAUGCCCUACGAGUAGCUCUAUGUAAGCCUCUGGAUUCAUUUAGAUUGUAUUUGUCUCGGGCUACUUUAGUUGUUGUCCCUUCAAAUCUAGUCGAUCACUGGAGAGGUCAGAUUGAGAGGCAUGUAAGACAAGGGCAGUUGAGAGUUUUUGUCUGGACUGAUUAUAAAAGGCCAUCUGCACAUAGUCUUGCUUGGGAUUAUGAUGUAGUUAUAACUACAUUCAGUCGCCUAAGUGCUGAGUGGAGCCCAAAAAAGAGAAGUGUCCUGAUGCAAGUUCAUUGGCUGAGAAUUAUAUUAGAUGAAGGUCAUACUCUUGGUUCAAGUCUAACUUUGACCAACAAACUGCAAAUGGCUGUUUCAUUGCGUGCUACAAAUCGCUGGUUAUUAACUGGAACACCAACUCCAAACACCCCUAGUAGCCAGCUUUCUCAUCUGCAACCCUUGCUUAAGUUCCUCCAUGAUGAAGCUUAUGGACAGAAUCAGAAAUCCUGGGAAGCUGGUAUUCUCAGGCCAUUUGAAGCAGAAAUGGAAGAGGGCCGGUCACGUUUGCUACAGUUACUUCACAGGUGCAUGAUCAGUGCCAGGAAAAAAGAUUUGCAGAAUAUUCCCCCUUGCAUCAAGAAAGUAACACUCUUAAAUUUUACUGAAGAACAUGCAAGAACUUACAAUGAAUUGGUAGAAACCGUGCGGAGAAACAUACUAAUGGCAGACUGGAAUGAUCCUUCUCAUGUUGAGAGUUUACUGAACCCUAAACAAUGGAAAUUCCGAAGUACUACCAUCAGAAAUGUUAGACUUUCGUGCUGUGUAGCAGGACAUAUCAGAGUGACAGAGGCAGGUGAUGAUAUUCAAGAAACUAUGGAUAUUUUAGUUGAGGAUGGUCUGGAUCCCACUUCAGAGGAGUAUGCUCUGAUAAAAUAUCACAUUUUAUUUGGUGGAAACUGCAUGAGGUGUAAAGCAUGGUGUCGUCUACCAGUGAUUACACCUUGUAAACAUCUAUUAUGCCUUGACUGUGUUUCUUUAGAUAGUGAGAAGUGUACAAUUCCUGGCUGUGGUAACUUGUAUGAGAUGCAAAGUCCUGAAACACUGGCCCGUCCUGAAAAUCCUAAUCCAAAGUGGCCUGUUCCAAAGGAUCUGAUUGAGUUGCAGCCAUCUUAUAAACAGGAUGACUGGAAUCCCGAUUGGCAAUCAACAUCUAGCAGUAAAGUUGCUUAUCUUGUUGAUAGAUUAAAGGAUAUACAGGAAGCUAAUAGGAUGAUUAUUACCUCCAACGAGGACAAAAUUGAUGAGACUGUUAGUGUAUCUCAUGUCCGUACCGGGAUAAACAAUUUCAGCACGUUUUCAUCGCAACAGUAUUUGGUUGGGCCAUCAAAUAAUUUCUGCAAUAUUCCACAGAAAGUUAUCAUAUUUUCUCAGUUUUUGGAGCACAUACAUGUAAUUGAACAGCAGUUGGCUGUUGCUGGUAUCAGUUUUGCCAGUUUGUAUAGUCCAAUGCCUUCCAUCAACAAGGUGAAAGCACUGACAACAUUUCAGCAUGAUGUUGACUGCAUGGCCUUAUUGAUGGAUGGAAGUGCAGCUUUAGGUCUUGAUCUGAGCUUUGUGACACAUGUCUAUCUAAUGGAACCGAUAUGGGACAAAAGUAUGGAGGAACAGGUGAUCAGUCGUGCUCAUCGGAUGGGUGCUACACGUCCUAUUCUCGUGGAAACACUGGCGAUGAGAAGCACAAUUGAGGAGCAAAUGUUGAAGUUCUUACAGGAGGCUGAUGAAGGUAGGAGGUUGUUGAAGGAAGAAUGCGGUAAACUGGGUCAUGAUGGGGCACGAGCACCACGCACGUUACAUGAUUUCGCUGAAAGCAAUUAUCUCACUCGCCUUAACUUUGUUCGGACCAGUUCCAAGGCAUGAAGAUCGCCGUCCCUUUUCUCCGGCCGGCGAACACCAGGUAAGUCGACUUCCCUUUUCUCUCUCUUCUUCUCAGAUCGCAUCUCUCUCUCCCCCCUCACCAAAAGCAAACCCUAGCUGCUACUGGGUUAGGGUUCAGCGAACCCAUAUACUUUUUCCCCUUUCUCUUUUUUUCUUCUUCUUGCCUCCUCUACAUGGAGGACCAUACACCAUAAGAACGCCAGAGUGAUUUUGGGGACAGCAAGCUCUGCUCUCUAGUACGACUUGGGUUCUCUGUUCUUUCCUCUUCUUGUGGUCUGGGAGUAUAGCUGCAUAUUGGACAGAAGACAACUUCAUCGAACAGUAAUUUCGACGGGCAACAGUGCUAGGAUAUCUACAAGCUUUACCCAGGUUCUACCUGCCGGAGUUGGUACCUUCGGAGAAGGAAAAACAAGGGGAAAGAAUAACUCCCACAUGAUGUUAACCUCCUUUAAUUGUCAUUUAGAGAUCGGUAGGUUCAUGUAGCACUACCUCAUGAACCUAUGACCUCCAAAUUCCAAUUAGCAGCAGAGAAAUUUAUAACCCAAGGUGGGAUGAUUCCAUAUUUUGAUGAACUGACUUGGAGCGUCUAGGCAAUCAAUGACUCUGACAGUCGGUCGCUUCUUGAUUAUUAUUGGCCACCAGUGGGAUUAUUUUUAUUCUACCGGCGUUGUAGAAACUCAGGCAUUCAAAUGUGGCAACCUAAUGAUCUUCAAAGUCCAGCUUAGAAUUGGUAAUUGAUAUUUGUACAUGUAUUCUUCUGGUCAGAGAAAUUCCAUUAGUGUUGUAUAUCCUGGUAAUUUAUUCUUUUCUUUUUUGAAUCUCUCUUUAGAAAACAAUAUAGUUGUUGUGGCCGUUUUCGAAAUAGAAAUCGAUCAUUUUCACUGAA